rnacentral:pre_miRNA from 1 species
CGCCUCUGCAGCUUCGGCUCCUCCUGGCCUCCCGGGAACUACAAGUCCCAGGGGGCCUGGCGGCGGGCGCGGGCGGAAGAG